GCCUAUCAGCUUGUUGGUGAGGUAACGGCUCACCAAGGCGACGACGGGUAGCCGGCCUGAGAGGGUGACCGGCCACACUGGGACUGAGACACGGCCCAGACUCCUACGGGAGGCAGCAGUGGGGAAUAUUGCACAAUGGGCGCAAGCCUGACGCAGCAAGGCCGCGUGAGGGACGACGGCCUUCGGGUUGUAAACCUCUUUUAGUAGGGAAGAAGCGAAAGUGACGGUACCUGCAGAAAAAGCACCGGCUAACUACGUGCCAGCAGCCGCGGUAAUACGUAGGGUGCAAGCGUUGUCCGGAAUUAUUGGGCGUAAAGAGCUCGUAGGCGGUCUGUCGCGUCUGCUGUGAAAACCCGAGGCUCAACCUCGGGCCUGCAGUGGGUACGGGCAGACUAGAGUGCGGUAGGGGAGAUUGGAAUUCCUGGUGUAGCGGUGGAAUGCGCAGAUAUCAGGAGGAACACCGAUGGCGAAGGCAGAUCUCUGGGCCGUAACUGACGCUGAGGAGCGAAAGCGUGGGGAGCGAACAGGAUUAGAUACCCUGGUAGUCCACGCCGUAAACGUUGGGCGCUAGAUGUGGGGACCAUUCCACGGCUUCCGUGUCGCAGCUAACGCAUUAAGCGCCCCGCCUGGGGAGUACAGCCGCAAGGCUA
rnacentral:rRNA from 1 species